ensembl:lncRNA
AGACAGACGAGAGAAGAGGGCAAGAUUUAGGAUUGGUGAUAGGAUUGACAAGUUACAAGUUUUAAAAAAUAAUGCUAAUUAAAUUAUUAAUUUUGGACACAAAGCUCAAUUUUACCUUGAAAGUGUCACAAAAUUAUUGUAAUUUGAGAAGUGUUUAGAGUCUGACAGAUCAAAUCCUACUAACCUACUGUAUGUUUUUUUUUUUUUGUUUGUUUGUUUGUUUUUUUUUUAAAAUGACCCGACAGUAAAAUAAUGAAAUGGCAAAACCAACACUGUUGCCUUUGUUGGUAAUCUGAGAAGUAUAGUGGUGUGCACUUGUUUCAUUUAAUAAGCUAUUGUUGACAAGCUGAAAUGGGAAGUGUAAAUAUUCAUGGGACUUUUAAUAUUUAACCUCAGAGCCUUCAGACAGUGUUGUGAUAAUUAUUUCACUUAUUUUGUGCUUAGACUUGGAUUAGACUUUGAUUAUCGUGUCUGUAGUUUGUAAUGUAAAGGUUUAGCUAGGUCAAAAAAUGAACAAUCACCGGGUUUGUGUUAAUGUUAACAUAUUAAUAAAAUCAGCGUUUCUGUUAUUGGAAGGUGCACAAGUAACAGGAAGGAGACUCGAACUGAGAGCUCUGUUUCUAAAGUACACAGAUCAUAAAAUUGCAUGAAAUAUAUGGGCAUAAAGUGCAUGCCUUCGGUUGUGUUAAUUACAUUUUAUCCUUUGCGUUGUUAUACAAUACUGAGUUCAUGUAACUUAUUCUCCUUACAGCAUGCUUAAGAUAAAAAAGUCCAACUUGUCACUCUUAAUUAGACAUUUUAAGUAAAACCAGCUAAUCAAAUUUCAGUCACCUUUAAAGGUUAAAUGGGGAGAAUAAGUCUUUUUUUUUUUUAGUUUUUUUGUUUUUGUUUAAUUAAUCUACGUUUAAAUAAUUAUUUUAUGAAUUGUGGAUCUGUUUAUAAAGCACGAAGCCCUUUUCUGCAUAUUUGAUUGCACAUAUUUAAAUAAAUAAAAUCUUGAUUUUAGUCGCAUCUGAACACUUACAGAAAGAGAAUCAAGAUUUCUGAUUACCAAAUCUUGUCUUCAGUGUUAUAAAUGUGUCAAAACGAGCACCUUGUAGACGCUGUUAUCAGCUACAACAUGGUAUUUUAUGCCCUGAUUUUUCAGCUGAAACUAAAUGAAUAUUUGGUUAAUUAAAUGUAACCCCCCAAAAUAAUUGCUACUUUCUGUCCUGCACGCAGAUGAAAUGAUUAAUUGAUCCGAUUCCUGCUCUCUCAGUUCAGAGGGUCGCUUGACUUGGUGUUGAAGUCAAUAAGCACUAAAGGAAAACUGCUGCUCAGCUGAUCUCAAUAAACACUUUCUUAAUGAGUCAACUUACUCGAAAGCUAUUUUGAAGUCUUUUUAGUGCAGUAUGAUGUUCAUUUUGUAAAUUAUGGCCUCGUUUAGACUCAAACAGACAAUAAAACGAUAUUCUUUGUGACAAGCUCGUGCUUGAGUCACUUUCAUAUGAGUAUGCAGCGCGCUUCUCAGUCUAAUCCAUCCCCUCUCUGUGAUUUUCACUUUAAAAGGGAAAAAAUUACUAACAGAAGAAAUGUUAUAUAUGGUUUCUGGCACACGUAUAGAAAUCUUUGGGACCCCAGUGGAGUGUUUUGAUCCAGCUUUUUAAUGUUACCAUUCAAGCUGGUUAUUUUCAAUAUAUUUCAUAUGCAUUAAACUCAUACUGGCAUUCACCGUCCUAUAAUUUUAAUAUUAAUAAUAAAAAAAAAAAACCCUAAUACUGGGCAAAACAGCUAGUUGUCUUUGAUGCUAGUUGAUUUUCAAACACAGGUAAACUAAACCCCACAGUGACUGAAUCCAAUAUAAAGAUUCAUCAGGUGUUGUAAUUCUGUAACUGAUUUUAUGUAUCUUUUUGCAUCCACUGUAACAUAAUGAGAACUUUCCCAUCACUCUUUGUGCAUGCGAGUGUGAAAAUCAUGACAAUACAUGAAAGGAGGGCUUAGCGUUCUGGUUAAGUGUGAAAAUGACUCUUGUCUUAUCUAAUGGGAUAAAAGGUUGGAGACUUGGGAGACAUUUGGUGUUGAAAGCAGACACCCAGCAGACAGACAUUUGAAAGCAGCCUAAUUUC